CUGAUAGAUCAUACUCUGGAAAGCACAGCCCUUGGUGGGAGCAGCCAGAUAAUUCUGAUUAUCUUGACUACUUGUUUGUGAAAUUUGGCCCCAUGCCACACUUUGACCAUUCUCCCAAUUAGCUGUUAAUCCUGUGCUCCUCUCCUCCCUCUGGCUGCCCCAACAGCAUCACCCCCCGCAUUUUAUUUUACCUGCUGAACAUACAGAAUGAGGAUGAGAUGGCUGAACUGCUGCAAUGUGAAAAGCAGCUGCUGUGGCUGAUGUUUAGAGGUGUGUUACAGAGGCACCAUUAAAGCCAGACAUUUUAAUGUUGUGGAAGACAGCAAACUGGAGAAUGCAUCAGAGAAGGAUGACAGCAUGGGGAGACUGACAUUCAGCAGGACUUUGAGAGAAGACUUCUGGACUCGCAGCAGCAUCAGGUACUUCAAGGGCUGGCUGUGCACUUGGGGUGAUAAUGCACUCAUGCUGCCAGGUCACUGCCUUCCACCUGCAGAAAUUUGCUCUCUCACCUUUGCUACUGCAGUCAACAUUACCAUGAGGUUUAUGCUCAUAAACUCUGGUAAUGUGGCAGCAGCACUUUUAUUAGCACUUUGACCUCUGUGGUUUCCUUUGGUUGAGGACAGCUUUAUCUGAACAAUGCCUUCUUCUCCCCUCUCCAGAGCUAGGAGUCUGCAAAGCCGAGGGUCUUGUUUCACCCACCCACUCACUGGUUUUCAGGUCAAGAUCUUUGAAGGUUGCUGCAGUUGGUGAAAGGGCUGGAAUAAGGAACAGUCCCAGUCAUAUGCCAGAGCCUGAGAACCAAAGCCCAAAUUUAGCUUGGGCAGGGCUUAAGCACCACUGCUGUCCUGUUAGUCUGCCUCUGGAGAGUAAGCCUGGCCCCAGGCUGAAGCCAGACACAGAACGCUAACUCGA